CCCUUAGAUGUUCUGGGCCGCACGCGCGCUACACUGAAGGGAUCAGCGUGUUUUCCCUUCCCGAGAGGGACGGGUAACCCGCUGAACCCCCUUCGUGGUAGGGAUCGGAGCUUGCAAUUGUUCUCCGUGAACCAGGAAUUCCCAGUAAGCGCAAGUCAUAAGCUUGCGUUGAUUACGUCCCUGCCCUUUGUACACACCACCCGUCGCUACUACCGAUUGAACGUUUUAGUGAGGUAUUUGGACUGGGCCUUGGGAGGUUUCGGCCUCCCUUGUUGCUCGGAAAGACUCCCAAACUUGAGCGUUUAGAGGAAGUAAAAGUCGUAACA
rnacentral:rRNA from 1 species